rnacentral:rRNA from 1 species
GACGAACGCUGGCGGCGUGCUUAACACAUGCAAGUCGAGCGGUAAGGCCCUUUCGGGGGUACACGAGCGGCGAACGGGUGAGUAACACGUGGGUGACCUGCCCUCAGCUCUGGGAUAAGCCUGGGAAACUGGGUCUAAUACUGGAUAUGACUCCACGGUGCAUGUCGUGGGGUGGAAAGCCUUGUGCGGCUGAGGAUGGGCCCGCGGCCUAUCAGCUUGUUGGGGGGGUGAUGGCCUACCAAGGCGACGACGGGUAGCCGGCCUGAGAGGGCGACCGGCCACACUGGGACUGAGACACGGCCCAGACUCCUACGGGAGGCAGCAGGUGGGGGAAUUCGUUGCGCAAGUGGGACGAAAGCCUGACGCAGCGACGCCGCGUGAGGGAUGACGG